GGGCGAAUAGCUCAGGGGUAGAGCGCCUCGCUUACACCGAGGAAGUCGCAGGUUCGAGCCCUGCUUCGCCCA
rnacentral:tRNA from 1 species